rnacentral:rRNA from 1 species
CACGUAGGGCGCAAGCGUUGUCCGGAAUUAUUGGGCGUAAAGGGCGCGUAGGCGGCCUUCUAAGUCGGACGUGAAAUCCCUCGGCUUAACCGAGGAACUGCGUCCGAUACUGAAAGGCUUGAAUCCGGGAGAGGGAUGUGGAAUUCCAGGUGUAGCGGUGAAAUGCGUAGAUAUCUGGAGGAACACCGGUGGCGAAGGCGGCAUCCUGGACCGGCAUUGACGCUGAGGCGCGAAAGCUAGGGGAGCAAACGGG